UUUGACGUUACCAACAGAUUAGGCACCGGCUAACUUCGUGCCAGCAGCGGCGGUAUUACGAAGGGUGCAAGGGUUAUUGGAAAUUACUGGGCGUAAAGCGCGCGUAGGUGGUUCCGCAAGUUGGAUGUAAAGUCCCCCCGGGGCUUCAAACCCUGGGGAAACUUGCAUUCCCAAAAACUGCGUAGGCCUAGAAGUACCGGUAAGAGGGGUGGGUGGAAAUUUUCCUUGUGUAGCGGGUGAAAAUGCGGUAGAUAUUGGGAAGGGAACACCCAGUUGGCGAAGGGCGACCCACCUGGAAUUGAUAACUGACACAUGAGGUGCGAAAAGCGUGGGGAGCAAAACGGGAUUUAGAUAACCCUGGUUGUCCAACGCCGUUAACUGAUGUAGACUUAGCCGUUGGGAUCCCUGAGAUUUUAGUGGCGCAGGUAACCCAUUAAGUUGACCGCCUUGGGAGUACGGCCGCAAGGUUAAAAAUCAAAUGAAUUGACGGGGGCCCGCACCAGCGGUGGAGCCUGUGGUUUAAUUUGGAGCAACGGGAAGAACCUUACCCGGCCCUGACCUGGUGAGAACUUUCCCAAGAUGGAUUGGUGCCUUUGGGAAAUUAGACACCGGUGGUGCAUGGCCGUUGUUAGCUUGUGUUCUUAGAUGUUGGGUUAAGUCCCGUAACCAGCGCCACCCUUGUCCUUAGUUACCAGCAGUUAUGGUGGGCACUCUAAGGAGACUGCCGGUGACAAACCGGAGGAAGGUGGGGAUGACGUCAAGUCAUCAUGGCCCUUACGGCCAGGGCUACACACGUGCUACAAUGGUCGGUACAAAGGGUUGCCAAGCCGCGAGGUGGAGCUAAUCCCAUAAAACCGAUCGUAGUCCGGAUCGCAGUCUGCAACUCGACUGCGUGAAGUCGGAAUCGCUAGUAAUCGUGAAUCAGAAUGUCACGGUGAAUACGUUCCCGGGCCUUGUACACACCGCCCGUCACACCAUGGGAGUGGGUUGCUCCAGAAGUAGCUAGUCUAACCGCAAGGGGACGGUUACCAUUGGAGGAUCACGUGGGA
rnacentral:rRNA from 1 species